UUCAAACAAUAAACAAGCAAUCAAUACCAUACUAAUUUUAAUCAAAACAACAAGGUUCAAUGGACACCCAAGCUGUCAACACAUGGCCAUUGUUGACAAAAAACAUCAAACGAAACUGGCAUAAUUAAAACAAUGAGAAAAGUAUAAUUAUUUUAUUACGAUUUUUUAUUUUAAUAUGACACAAAUAAAUAUAUUCAAAAAUACUCUCAACUUUCUCACCAAUCUGAAAAUAGAAAUGAAACAAAUUACGGUGUGAGUUACAAAAGGAGAAAAUAUUCAUGACACUAUCAGGUCAGUAGAAUAAAUAUACGUUUUCUUCAGUGUGCGCUUAAUAUUCAGGUGCGUUUUAUGUAAGGACAAAAACAAUCUUCCCCCCAAAAAACGGCCGUGCGGCUUAUAAAACGAUGCGCUUUAAAUUCGAAAAUAUACGGUAAUGAAUAUUUGAAUGUUU
rnacentral:lncRNA from 1 species